rnacentral:lncRNA from 1 species
AUGAGAGAAGGGCAGCGGAGAGCGUCCGUACUGGUGAGGUGCUGCAACGGGGAUCGGCUGGAGCGCGGAAGCGGUCUCAUCGGCGACGGGACGAAGGAGGCGCGAGUCCUGCCCACACCCCGCGCCCCAGGGAUCCCGCUGGUGAGAGUCUACGGGGCGAGGUCCUGGUGCAGCUGGUGCCUGGAGAGGAAGGCCCUCGUCCUAGGCUGGGAACUGUGGUGCUGCGCGUGUGGAGGAAGCAGAGGAGACUGCCCAGUGUUUAUGUUGUUGCAGCUGUAUCUCUGGACAGAAAUGUUUCUUGAAUUCGGUAGAGCUCCCUGAGCUCGAAGGUGGGUGCGCUGUCCCGAGAGCGGGCUGGCAGCGACUGUCCUGCAAAUAAUAAAAACUUCUGCUUUCCUUUCUUAAGGUGAGCU